UACAGAGGGUGCAAGCGUUAAUCGGAAUUACUGGGCGUAAAGCGUGCGUAGACGGUUAUUUAAGUCAGGUGUGAAAGCCCAGGGCUCAACCUUGGAAUUGCAUUUGAGACUGAAUAGCUAGGGUGCGGAAGAGGGAAGCGGAAUUUCCGGUGUAGCGGUGAAAUGCGUAGAUAUCGGAAGGAACACCAGUGGCGAAAGCGGCUUCCUGGUCCAGCACCGACGUUCAGGCACGAAAGCUGGGGGAGCAAACCGG
rnacentral:rRNA from 1 species